GGCGCGGCUAGGGUAGCUCCCGAAAAGCUGGCCCGCACCAGCCUGCCGCGUCGUCCUUUGCGGAAUG
rfam:Bradyrhizobium sp. ORS278,complete sequence.